rnacentral:rRNA from 1 species
CGAGGAAUCUUCCACAAUGGGCGCAAGCCCGAUGGAGCAACGCCGCGUGGAGGACGACGGCCUUCGGGUUGUAAACUCCUUUCGGGGGGAUGAUACGGACAGUACCCCCAGAAGCAGCCCCGGCUAACUCUGUGCCAGCAGCCGCGGUAAUACAGAGGGGGCAAGCGUUGUCCGGAAUUACUGGGCGUACAGCGCGCGCAGGCGGGUGGUGACGUGCCGUGUGACAGCUGGCGGCUUAACCGCCGGAGGCCAUGGUAGACGCACCGCCUGGAGGCAGGGAGAGGGAUGUGGAAUGCCCGGUGGAA